rnacentral:rRNA from 1 species
CCUACGGAGGACUGCAGUGAGGAAUAUUGGUCAAUGGGAGAGAUCCUGAACCAGCCAAGCCGCGUGAGGGAAGACGGCCCUAUGGGUUGUAAACCUCUUUUGUCGGAGAACAAAACCCGGGACGUGUCCCGUACUGCGUGUAUCCGAAGAAAAAGCAUCGGCUAACUCCGUGCCAGCAGCCGCGGUAAUCCGGAGGAUGCGAGCGUUAUCCGGCUUUAUUGGGUUUAAAGGGUGCUUAGGCGUUCCGUUACGUCAGCGGUAAAAUUGCGGGGCUCAACCCCGUCGAGCCGUUGAAACUGGCAGACGUGAGUUGGCGAGAAGUACGCGGAAUGCGCGGUGUAGCGGUGAAAUGCAUAGAUAUCGCGCAGAACUCCGAUUGCGAAGGCAGCGUACCGGCGCCAGACUGACGCUGAGGCACGAAAGCGUGGGGAUCGAACAGGAUUAGAUACCCCUGUAGUC